rnacentral:hammerhead_ribozyme from 1 species
ACCCAGCUAACGAGUCCCAAAUAGGACGAAACGCGUGUCCUGCAU